rnacentral:tRNA from 1 species
ACUUGGCUGGCUCAGAUGGUGGAGCAUGUGACUCUUGAUCUCAUGGUUGUAAGUUAAAGUCCUGUGUUGAGUG